rnacentral:rRNA from 1 species
AACGAACGCUGGCGGCAUGCCUAACACAUGCAAGUCGAACGAGACCUUCGGGUCUAGUGGCGCACGGGUGCGUAACGCGUGGGAACCUGCCCUUAGGUUCGGAAUAACUCCCCGAAAGGGGUGCUAAUACCGGAUAAUGUCUUCGGACCAAAGAUUUAUCGCCUUUGGAUGGGGCCGCGUUGGAUUAGCUAGUUGGUAGGGUACAAGCCUACCAAGGCGACGAUCCAUAGCUGGUCUGAGAGGAUGAUAAGCCACACUGGGCCUGAGACACGGCCCAGACUCCUACGGGAGGCAGCAGUGGGGAAUAUUGGACAAUGGGCGAAAGCCUGAUCCAGCAAUGCCGCGUGAGUGAUGAAGGCCUUAGGGUUGUAAAGCUCUUUUACCCGGGAUGAUAAUGACAGUACCGGGAGAAUAAGCUCCGGCUAACUCCGUG